GAUGUAGUAAAAGUUCCUCAGUUGUUCGCGGGUCAUUUGGAAGCAUCAUUAAUUGAGCGCCUGGACGUCGUAUUGUGAUAGAAAUCUAUACAUCGCAGCAACGUAUUAAAUAUGUCGGUAAAAUGUAUUACAGGUUCCUCAGUUGUUCGCGGGUCAUUUGGAAGCAUCGUUUAUUGAGCGUCUGGACGUCUUAACGUUACACACACUGUUGAUGUGAUGGACAGUAAAUCUGAAUUCUGCCCAGCAACAUAUUCGCGCCACUGUCAACAAAGGAAGGAAAAAAAGUCGCCAGUCGACGAAGGAUUAGGAGGGACGACUGCUUCGUUGUUGUUAAACUCUAUGUGGAAGAUCAGAAGACGUGGGCAGGAGUUGUGACAGAAGGCAAUGCACAGAUGAAGGACAUCAUACCACAAUUGUGAAAAGAGUGAAAAGAGCCAGUCUUUUUCAGAGCUCUCAACUGCCAUGAUGACCAAGAGGACAUGUGAGACAUGCGGAAAGCUGCCAUAUUCCCAGUCAUUACUUUGCCAAAUCAUCUGUGCACAGAGGAAUCCUACUUUCCGGAGUCUGAAGGCGAGUAGGCUAUUAAGGACUUCCUAGACUGGCAACAGACUGGAGAAGAGGCUGGAGCAGAGACGCCCUUUUUUAGCUACUGAAAUAAUUGACAUUAUGAUAGACAGUGGACAAUAUAGUGUGAGAUUUAGUUGUUGUUCUCCAACAUGUAC